rnacentral:rRNA from 1 species
UCCGCAUUGUAAUCUCAAGACGUGUUUUCCGCGCGGCACUUUGGCUAAGUUCUCUGGAAAGGGACAUCGUAGAGGGUGAAAAUCCCGUACUUGCCAUGGAUGUACCGUGCAUUGCGAUACACGUUCAAAGAGUCGUGUUGUUUGGGAGUACAGCACAAAGUGGGUGGUAGACUCCAUCUAAGGCUAAAUACCGGGGAGAGACCGAUAGCGAACAAGUACCGUGAGGGAAAGAUGAAAAGCACUUUGGAAAGAGAGUUAAAAGUACGUGAAAUUGUCGAAAGGGAAGCGCUUAGAGUUAGCCAUGCGGCCGGAACUCAGCCUUCGGGUGUACUUUCCGGUCGCAAGCCAGCAUUGAUUCGUGCCGCUGGAGAAGGGCGCUGGGAAUGUGGCAUCUCCGGGUGUGUUAUAGCCCAGUGCUGGAUACAGCGGCAUGGAUCAAGGAACGCAGCA